rnacentral:rRNA from 1 species
AUUGAACGCUGGCGGCAGGCCUAACACAUGCAAGUCGAGCGGAUGAAGGGAGCUUGCUCCUGGAUUCAGCGGCGGACGGGUGAGUAAUGCCUAGGAAUCUGCCUGGUAGUGGGGGAUAACGUCCGGAAACGGGCGCUAAUACCGCAUACGUCCUGAGGGAGAAAGUGGGGGACCUUCGAACCUCAGGCUAUCAGAGGAGCCUAGGUCGGAUUAGCUAGUUGGUGGGGUAAAGGCCUACCAAGGCGACGAUCCGUAACUGGUCUGAGAGGAUGACCAGUCACACUGGAACUGAGACACGGUCCAGACUCCUACGGGAGGCAGCAGUGGGGAAUAUUGGACAAUGGGCGAAAGCCUGAUCCAGCCAUGCCGCGUGUGUGAAGAAGGUCUUCGGAUUGUAAAGCACUUUAAGUUGGGAGGAAGGGCAGUAAGUUAAUACCUUGCUGUUUUGACGUUACCAACAGAAUAAGCACCGGCUAACUUCGUG